rnacentral:rRNA from 1 species
UACACUCCUGCGGGAGGCAGCAGUGAGGAAUAUUGGCCAAUGGGUGGAAGCCUGAUCCAGCCAUCCCGCGUGCAGGAAGACGGCCCUAUGGGUUGUAAACUGCUUUUAUCUGGGGAUAAACCUACUUACGUGUAAGUAGCUGAAGGUACCAGAAGAAUAAGCACCGGCUAACUCCGUGCCAGCAGCCGCGGUAAUACGGAGGGUGCAAGCGUUAUCCGGAUUUAUUGGGUUUAAAGGGUCCGUAGGCGGACUGAUAAGUCAGUGGUGAAAUCCGACAGCUUAACUGUCGAACUGCCAUUGAUACUGUUAGUCUUGAGUAAGGUUGAAGUGGCUGGAAUAAGUAGUGUAGCGGUGAAAUGCAUAGAUAUUACUUAGAACACCAAUUGCGAAGGCAGGUCACUAAGUCUUAACUGACGCUGAUGGACGAAAGCGUGGGGAGCGAACAGGAUUAGAAACCCGGGUAGUCCCAUG